CACUCGUCUCCUUUUGUCUUUAAGUGCUUAUCAUUGAACACUUGUUACAACAUCUGAGAAGUAACUUUAUAUAUGGAAGAGCAGGAAAAAAAGCCCUUUUAAUAUAGACAUUUCUAAAAGCAUUUGAGACUUUUUAAAAAUUUUUUUAAUAAGCAGUUCUGCUUGUUUGAUCAGCAUAGCUGUUCCUAAACUCACAUGUAGGUUAAGAGCAGAAUGCCAUCAGCAUCACAAUUUAUACCAUGUAAAUGCUCACAAAAUGGAGGAAGUGGAAAUGAUGAAUUAAGUGAGAAGCUUUUGUUAUGAUUCUUUCAGGUUUUAAGGGUAAAAAAUUGAGAAUGGAUCUCCUUGGAGAGGAAGGAGAGAGAAUGGUACAUCUGAAGGACACAAUUUAUCAUCUGAAACGUUGCUAUCCUAGAACAGCGUGCAGAAGAAAGAAGAUCACGAAUGAAGGGAGGAGAAGAUACCAGACUGGCUGUGAUCCCAAGCCUCUCACAUGCUGAUGUUAAGGACAGAACAUGUGGGUGCCACAUGAGCAGGUGAAACUCUGAUUCUACAUGUGCGGAAGGGAGGAGAGUAAUUAAACAAUCAGAUGUGCUAAGUGUAUCAUGCUGGGACUUCACUACAUUUCAGAUGGGUUGUUAGGUUUGAAACCUAAGGCAGUAACUCAGGAAGUGGCCACAUUACAG
rnacentral:lncRNA from 1 species